UACAGAGGGUGCGAGCGUUAAUCGGAAUUACUGGGCGUAAAGCGUGCGUAGACGGUUAUGUAAGUCGGAUGUGAAAGCCCCGGGCCUAACCUGGGAACUGCAUUCGAGACUGCAUAGCUAGGAUGCGGAAGAGGGAAGUGGAAUUUCCGGUGUAGCGGUGAAAUGCGUAGAUAUCGGAAGGAACAUCAGUGGCGAAAGCGGCUUCCUGGUCCAGCAUCGACGUUCAGGCACGAAAGCGUGGGGAGCAAACGGG
rnacentral:rRNA from 1 species